GCCAUAGUUGGGCAAUUGCAGCCGCUGGAUCUGUGUGACGGAAAAAAUGCUCCGUGUCUGUACUUAUUAUUGGUUUCCAUUACAUCGACUCCGUGUUCUGAUUCCUGGAUUGAUUUGCAGCAUUUCGUCUACCACCAUCGAACCAUGCGGCUUUAGAUCCGUAGGAUCUUACUCUUUCAUUUGAAUAAUAAAAAAUUUUGAACUUUAAGAAUGAUCAUAUCUGCAAUUCUUUGGAGGAAAAAAAGGGGGUUAAAUCUGCGUAUUUGAUUAAUACAGAUUUGCAUGUAUGUUUUUUGACAUGUUUAAUCCAUUAGGGGAAUUGCUGUUCGCCAAGCACCUAGUGAGGAAUUGCUGGGGAAGACCGUCUUACUGUGGAUGAAGUGAAUGAAGAGGUUGAAAUUACUGAUUGCUGAGGUCUUAUUUGAGACAAUUGAACUUAAUGCAUAUCUGGAAAAUAUAUUCCGUUCUGAUAUCUUUGACCAUAAUUUUGUUUGCGUCUCUUAUUAUUGCAUCUGGACUUACGUAUAGGGGAGGAAGACAAUAAUGUUGUGGACCAUACAUAGUCCAUGGUAAAAUGUUGGUGAAGGUAGGUAGUGGAAGAUGAUCCAUGACAGAGCUACUAAGCAUUUUCUAAUCAUCAGGAUGGUGUAACUUGAUUUUAAUUUCUCCCUUCAUCCCAUUUCUUUAAGUGCUAUGCUAGCUAUUCAGAUGGAUAAAAGGGGUUUUUAUGAUAUCUCCAUAUUUAUGCACUUAUCUCCUUAAUUCUUUGACAUUUUGUUUCUUGAGGAGAAUGGGGAAGGCAGCCAUUGGAAAGCCAACUGAGCAACAGGAACAGAAACAAUAAAGAUCAGCACAUACAGUGUAUUCUUCAGUGGAUGAAAGGAGUGAUACUUGCCCUACUUGUAAACAGGUAUACAUUGUUCCCGCACUUAUGUGAUUACUGAUAUGUUUCUUCUGUUUCAUUAGGUAAUGAUUUUUGAGAAAAUCAUUUAGAAAGAUUUUAUACUUGCUAAUUUGCUUUAAAAGAUUUAUAGCAUUAACAAGAACACUAGCACACAGGUCAAUACGAAGGAGAAGGCGAAACAUUAAUAAAAUCUUUCAUUCCUUUUAGCAUCUAUAACAUCUGUUUCCAACCCUUCUUUCUGAGAAAUAAAAGCUCUUAUGCAAGAAUGAGCUGUGAUUCAGAGUUGCAUGAAUUGUUAACAUAUCAUUAGUAAACAAUGGGUAGUGUAUCGAGCAGCUCAGCAUCAGAAACAAUCUUACCAAAGAAUUGGUGAGCACCGCAAUCAAUAUUUAGAUUUUAUUUAUUAUUUAACUAAUAUUGCUUCUUUUUGUGUAUGCUAGGUAACAACAUGCCGCGAGGAAAACGAUUCAGAGUUGCAGUCUCAGCUUGAGCAUAUUUCAUCUAUGUUACCACGAUUUCUCCCUCCUCAGGUUCCUGAUACUUCAACAGCUCGCAGAGAUGAUGAUGGGCUGAAUGCGGUCCCUGAUAUUUUUUAGACUGUUAUUUAAUGAGUUUUAUAUGUAUCUUUCUUAUAUUUUUCAAAAUACAUUGUAAUUCUAAACUUAUGUAAAUUUAAUCUUAUAUGAGAAUAUGAAUGUUUCGAAUGA